CUGGACGAAGGAGACAGUGAGCAGGACUGUCAUCACCUAGCUUCAGAAAGCACCCCCUCUCUGUGACGCUCAGUUCCUGGCCGACCUUCAGCCAUGAAGAUUCUUUACCUGCUCUUUGCUGUUGUCUUCUUGGUGCUCAUGGAUGCCCCAGGUUUCUCCCAUGCUGUGGUGACCCAAAAAGGGUGUAGACGCCUUUGGGGUGAAUGUUACUUUUGGCGAUGUCCCACCAAUGCUAUGUACCUUGACAAAUGCUAUUUUGGCCAUUGCUGUCAAAGACCUAUUGGCUGAUUGUCUAAGCAGGAUCUCAGGGAAUCGCGGAGACAGCCACUUGCUUCUAAAAUCAUCAGACCCUGCUUCAAUGGAACCCUGAAGUGUUGCUGUUCACUUGGGCUGUAAAGAACUUUGUGAGUUGGAGAAAUUUAAA